AUUGGCUUGUAGGACAUAUUUCUUUCAAUCUCCCACUUACACUAAAGUCAAUCACUGUUAUAUUUUAUCCCCACACAAUCGAGGUGGCGAUCGAACUGCUGCUGUGGUAGAGCCUUAGUGAACGAGUCUGUUAUAUUGUUCUUUGUUUCUACUCGUUCAAUGACAACAUCUUAUCUUUCGAUUAUUUCACGAAUAAGAUGGAAGCAUCUUAGAAUGUGC
rnacentral:lncRNA from 1 species